GAAUUCGCCCUUAGAGUGUGAUUCUGGCUCAGGAUGAACGCUGGCGGCGUGCUUAACACAUGCAAGUCGAGCGAAGCGAUUGAGAUGAAGUUUUCGGAUGGAUUCCCGAUUGACUGAGCGGCGGACGGGUGAGUAACGCGUGGGUAACCUGCCUCAUACAGGGGGAUAACAGUUAGAAAUGACUGCUAAUACCGCAUAAGCGCACAGUGCCGCAUGGUACGGUGUGAAAAACUCCGGUGGUAUGAGAUGGACCCGCGUCUGAUUAGCUGGUUGGUGGGGUAACGGCCUACCAAGGCGACGAUCAGUAGCCGACCUGAGAGGGUGACCGGCCACAUUGGGACUGAGACACGGCCCAAACUCCUACGGGAGGCAGCAGUGGGGAAUAUUGCACAAUGGGGGAAACCCUGAUGCAGCAACGCCGCGUGAGUGAAGAAGUAUUUCGGUAUGUAAAGCUCUAUCAGCAGGGAAGAAAAUGACGGUACCUGACUAAGAAGCCCCGGCUAACUACGUGCCAGCAGCCGCGGUAAUACGUAGGGGGCAAGCGUUAUCCGGAUUUACUGGGUGUAAAGGGAGCGUAGACGGCGAGACAAGUCUGAAGUGAAAGCCCGGGGCUCAACCCCGCGGACUGCUUUGGAAACUGCCUUGCUAGAGUGUCGGAGAGGUAAGUGGAAUUCCUAGUGUAGCGGUGAAAUGCGUAGAUAUUAGGAGGAACACCAGUGGCGAAGGCGGCUUACUGGACGAUAACUGACGUUGAGGCUCGAAAGCGUGGGGAGCAAACAGGAUUAGAUACCCUGGUAGUCCACGCCGUAAAC
rnacentral:rRNA from 1 species